CCCCCUCAGAGAUUGAUGAUGCCUGUUCUCUCUCAAACUAUAGCAAUGAUCGCAUUUUUGAGGCCGCGUUCACUGCCAGGGAACUGUGGGAAGUGUAGUGUUUGUGAGACGUUAGCCUCCUCUGUUGAAGAGCUCUGGUGCCACACAGCCACAGGAGAGGAAGGAUUUGGAUGCAGGCCAUGGCACCGAGAGAGGAAAGGCUAAAGAAAUAUGAAGAUGCUUUCCAGUGACCAGAAGAUGCAGUGACUGCUGAUGCCAAGGGGGUUUAUCUGGAGUGAGCUGGUUUGUCUUAAGAGAACAGUGCCUCCACCCUUCUAAUCAGACAAAAGAAAGCCCUGCCUCCAAAUGACAAGGAGGUUUGAGCUUCUUCCUCCCCCUCAAGCUCCCUAUUCUAACCUGGCAAAGGAAACCCUUUUCUUUCUGCAGCCUCAAGGCUGCAACUUCUUUCUUCUCCUUACCACUUCUCCAACCUUUUCUUGAUACUCAAAACUCCAUAGCAAAACUCAAAACAGCCAUGUUCUUUCAGCUCACUUUCUUCAUUCUCUUGCCUUUCCUUUCUUGCUCUCUUCUUCAUUCAACUGCACAGGUGCACUGGGAGAGGUAUGUUGUAAAGUGAGACAAUGCAAUUUGACACACCCCUGUAAAUUAAUGGGACCGAUUCAGGUCUUUACCUGUGUGCUUCCACACAUAGACACUCCUCCUAAAACAAUUUAAGUUGCAUUGGUAUUUUUUGCUUAAGAGAAAGGAACAGACAAGGAAAAGUAGAUACAGUACCAAGAAAGAACAAGGAAGUGGAAGAUAUGGGUUCAUCCCACAUUGGGAGGACACUGAUCUCUACAAGACAAAAGUUGCCAUGUGAUAGGGCACAACAAAAUUUUUAGAUACAAAUGGGGGGCAGGAUUUGAGCACUUCAGCCCAAAUGUCCCACCCCAGAAAUAAACUUCUGAACUGUAAAACCAAAGCAGCAGACACAAUUUUGCAUCUUGUCAGAGGCAAUCUGUACCUGUGCAUUGGAUCACAAUAGCUAUUAAUGUUAUUUCCAAAUAUUUGUAAGUUGCUAUUCUUUUUCCACACCACUCUUUUUUACAUACAGAAUGAUCUGGCUAUAGCAAUAACAAGAAAAAAGUAUCAUUAAAAUAGCAUGAAUUAUUUAAUGCCAGGAGUUGGGCAUUUCCUAAAAUUAGAAUCAGAAUAUCAUCCAGGGGUACCAUGCUCAUCCAGUAGGACAGGACUAUAGGUGUGUCUGUGUCUGCAUGUGCCUUCAGGUUGCUUGCCAUCUUAUGACUGCCCCAUGAAUUUCAUACAGUUUCUUAGGCAA